rnacentral:tRNA from 1 species
GCGUGGAUGGCCGAGUUGGUCUAAGGCGUUAGACUCAAGAUCUAAUGAGCGUAUGCUCUCAUGGGUUCGAAUCCCAUUCUACGCAC